GAGGUCACUGCUAUCAGUGUUCGAUUAAGCCAUGCGAGUUAAAUGUUUUUCGUGAACAUAGCAGACUGCUCAGUAACACGUGGAUAACCUGCCCUUAGGACUGGCAUAACCCCGGGAAACUGGGGAUAAUUCCGGAUAGAUCAUAAAUGCUGGAAUGCUUUAUGAUUGAAAGGUUUCGACCGCCUUAGGAUGGAUCUGCGGCCUAUCAGUUGUAGUGGGUGUAAUGUACCUAACUAGCCAUACGACGGGUACGGGUUGUGGAAGCAAGAGCCCGGAGAUGGAUUCUGAGACAUGAAUCCAGGCCCUACGGGGCGCAGACAGGCGCGAAAACUUUACAAUGCGGGGAACCGUGAUAAGGGAACACUGAGUGCUAGCAUUCUAUGAUUCCGCCUGUCCAGCAUGUGUAAAUCAUCAUGUGAUAGCAAUGGCUGGGCAAGACCGGUCGCCAGACCGCGCGGUAACAGCGCGAGCAGCCCGAGUGGUGAUCAGUAUUAUUGGGUCUAAAGGGUCCGUACAUUGCAGGCCUGUAUACUGACUGUGACGCGCCUCUUCCACAAGGGGAUGACCCUGAGUCUUAGACCUGUUGGGACCGGGAGAGGUAAGAGGUACUGCCAGGGGUUAGGAGUGAAAUCUUGUAAUCCCUGUGAGACCACCAGUGGCGAAGGCGUCUUACCAGAACGGGUCCGACGGUGAGGGACGAAAGCUGGGGGCACGAACCGGAUUUAGAUACCCGGGUAGUCCCAGCUGUAAACGAUGCUCGUUAGGUGUCAGGAACGGUGCGACUGUUUCUGGUGCCGAAGGGAAGCCGUGAAACGAGCCACCUGGAGAAGUACGGCCGUCAAGGCUGAAACUUAAAGGAAUUGUGCGGGGGAGCACAUACAACGGGUGUGAGCCUGCGGUUUAAUUGCGACUCAACGCCGGAAAACUCACCGGGGGCGACAGCAAUAUGUAGGUCAGGUUAAAGGUCUUACCUGAAUCGCUGAGAGGAGGUGCAUGGCCGUCGUCAGUUCGUACUGUGAAGCAUCCUGUUAAGUCAGGCAACGAGCAAGACCCGUGCCCACUGUUACCAGCAUAUCCUUUAUGGAUGAUGGGGACUCUGUGGGGACCGCUGCUGCUAAAGCAGAGGAAGGUGCGGGCUACGGUAGGUCAGUAUGCCCCGAAUCUCCCGGGCUACACGCGGGCUACAAUGGUUGGGACAAUGGGUAUCUACUCCGAAAGGAGUUGGCAAUCUCUUAAACCCAAUCGUAGUUCGAAUUGAGGGCUGUAACUCGCCCUCAUGAAGCUGGAAUCCGUAGUAAUCGCGUUUCAACAUAGCGCGGUGAAUCUGUCCCUGCUCCUUGCACACACCGCCCGUCAAACCA
rnacentral:rRNA from 1 species